rnacentral:rRNA from 1 species
GACGAACGCUGGCGGCGUGCUUAACACAUGCAAGUCGAACGGAAAGGCCCUGCUUUUGUGGGGUGCUCGAGUAGCGAACGAGUGAGUAACAAGUGAGUAACCUGCCCUUGACUUUGGGAUAACUUCAGGUAACUGGGGCUAAUACCGGAUAGGAGCUCCUGCUGCAUGGUGGGGGUUGGAAAGGUUCGGCGGUUGGGGAUGGACUGGCGGCUUGUCAGCUUGUGGGUGGGGUAGUGGCUUACCAAGGCUUUGACGGGUAGCCGGCCGGGGAGGGUGACCGGCCACAUUGGGCUUGGGAUACGGCCCAGACCCCUACGGGAGGCAGCAGUGGGGAAUAUUGCACAAUGGGCGGAAGCCGGAUGCAGCAACCCCGCGUGCGGGAUGACGGCCUUCGGGUUGUAAACCGCUUUCGCCUGUGACGAAGCGUGAGUGACGGUAAUGGGUAAAGAAGCACCGGCUAACUACGUG